AUUGAACGCUGGCGGCAUGCCUUACACAUGCGAGUCGAACGGCAGCACGGGUGCUUGCCCCUGGUUGCGAGUGGCGCACGGGUGUGUAAUACAUCGGACCACGUCCUGGUGUGGGGGAUAGCCCGGCGAAAGCCGGUUUAAUACCGCAUACGCUCUGCGGAUGAAAGCGGGGGACCUUCGGCCCUCGCUCUAUAGGGUUGCCCGAUGGCGGAUUCGCUAGUUGGUGGGGUAAAGGCCUACCAAGGCGACGAUCAGUAGCUGGUCUGAGAGGACGACCAGCCACACUGGGACUGAGACACGGCCCAGACUCCUACGGGAGGCAGCAGUGGGGAAUUUUGGACAAUGGGCGAAAGCCUGAUCCAGCAAUGCCGCGUGUGUGAAGAAGGCCUUCGGGUUGUAAAGCACUUUUGGCCGGAAAGAAAGCCUGGGCCCUAAUACGGUCGGGGGAUGACGGUACCGGAAGAAUAAGCACCGGCCAACUACGUG
rnacentral:rRNA from 1 species